rnacentral:rRNA from 1 species
UCCGGAGAGUAACACGUGGGAACGUACCCUUCAGUUCGGAACAACCCAGGGAAACUUGGGCUAAUACCGAAUACGUCCGUAAGGAGAAAGAUUUAUCGCUGAAGGAUCGGCCCGCGUCUGAUUAGCUAGUUGGUGAGGUAACGGCUCACCAAGGCGACGAUCAGUAGCUGGUCUGAGAGGAUGAUCAGCCUCACUGGGACUGAGACACGGCCCAGACUCCUACGGGAGGCAGCAGUGGGGAAUAUUGGACAAUGGGCGCAAGCCUGAUCCAGCCAUGCCGCGUGGGUGAUGAAGGCCCUAGGGUUGUAAAGCCCUUUCGGCGGGGAAGAUAAUGACGGUACCCGCAGAAGAAGCCCCGGCUAACUUCGUGCCAGCAGCCGCGGUAAUACGAAGGGGGCUAGCGUUGCUCGGAAUCACUGGGCGUAAAGCGCACGUAGGCGGCUCUUUAAGUCAGGGGUGAAAUCCUGGAGCUCAACUCCAGAACUGCCCUUGAUACUGAGGAGCUUGAGUCCGGGAAAGGUGAGUGGAACUGCGAGUGUAGAGGUGAAAUUCGUAGAUAUUCGCAAGAACACCAGUGGCGAAAGCGGCUCACUGGCCCGGUACUGACGCUGAAGUGCGAAAGCGUGGGGG